GGCUAACUGGGAUUGGUCUCCUCUGUAGGGAGAGAAAAGCCAGGGAGAGGAGAGGAGCCACACACAAAGCUGCACCCUGAUGAAACUGGUCAGCAACACGUGAAAGCAUAGUGCCCUUCAGAACUGGUUACUGGAGGACCUGAGUGUGGUUUGAACUGUAAAUGAAAAACCCAACGAGUAGCAGUGACCUACUGGGUCUCUGAGGUCUCACUUCCUUUGUCUUAUUCGACACUUACUGUACCUAAAGUAAGAUAACAAAAGGGCUAAGCGAUCCCCAACCUGGAUCAUCUGACAACAUGAACACAUUUACAGCUCAAACACACUAAGGACUUGUCUACACCACAGACUGUGGAGUGACGUGGAAAUACAGCAUCGCAGCUUCACUGUGAGAUGCAGCCGUGUCCUGUGCUUUGAGAGCAAGUGUGUACUAACCGGGAGUGGCUCAGGGAGCAGUGGAAAAGCCAAACAUCGCUCCUGUUUUCUGCAGAGGUUGUCCACAGCCAGAGACUUCCCAAUUCACAUUUAUAACUUCAGCACAGCUGGAUUUCUCUGACACAAGACCAUACCUUUAAAACUAGCAGUAACAAAUGGCAAAUGCAAAACUCUGUUCAAUACUUCUGACCCCAGAAAUGCCAGG
rnacentral:lncRNA from 1 species